rnacentral:rRNA from 1 species
GACAGAGGUGCCGAGCGUUAGGCGGAAUCACUGGGCUUAAAGCGUGUGUAGGCGGAUCGUUAAGUACCUUGUGAAAUCCCCCCGGCUCAACCGGGGGAACUGCUGGGUAUACUGGCGAUCUUGAGCGAUCUAGGGGCAGAUGGAACAAGUGGUGGAGCGGUGAAAUGCGUAGAUAUCACUUGGAACGCCGAUGGUGAAAACAGUCUGCUGGGGAUCUGCUGACGCUGAGACACGAAAGCCAGGGGAGCGAACGGG